rnacentral:lncRNA from 1 species
AGCAAAUCACACAGAAUCACAGAAUCACAGAACUGCCAGGGUUGGAAGGGACCUCAAGGAUCAUGAAUCUCCAACCCCCCUGCCACAUGCAGAGCCACCAACCAUUCCUCCUAAUGCUAGACCAGGCUGCCCAGGGCCCCAUCCAAUCUGGCCUUGAACACCUCCAGGGACGGGGCAUCCACAACCUCUCUGGGCAGCCUGUUCCACUACCUCACCACUCACCACUCUCUCUGUAAAUCUUUCUCAAACAGGGGCUUAAACAGAAGACAAUGAAAAUUGAAGCUUCAUUAAUAUAUCAGGAAAUAAUUGCAGAGGUUGGAUAAUUUUAUACUAAUUUUGGUGGUGCCCUGCUACUAUGAGAGUCCAUGUAUCUGUUUACAGGCUACAGUCUUCUGACAUUUGAAAACUCAAGUGCAAAAGUGAAGGCUAAGAAGAAAAAUGACUUUAGCACCUUCUGACAUGAGUCUUGCCUACAUGGCUGUACAGUCAGCUCCACCCCUUUGCAUCCUCCUGUCAGUGUCAUGUCCUGGGUAAAGACAACUACUAAAGAGCAGCUGGGUAACAGAGACAAGGAGCAGCUCACUUCUCAUCAGGGCAGUGAUUGCACCUCCUCUACCAGCAGUCAGCUGCCUCUGCUCUCAGGACAGCUUUGCCAGAGUCGCUCUGAGUUUGAGCUGCCUAGUUGCUGUGGAUUGCCUGGAGAUGUGGACUCAUGGCUGAGCUUGCCUACUGUCAUUGAGCUUACGCUGCCUUUCCUGAUCAGGGUUUUCUAUCUUAUUUGUCACGCGAGACAACAAAAUUCACAGAAAUUAAGAUUCGUCUUCAGGUAAGUGAAAGUUGACAUCAAUUCAGAAAGCUUAAAGUAUCAAUUUAAUAAGCUUAUGCAAGCCUAUACCUUGGCAGAAGUUCAGUAAGUCAGAUGUGUUGUAAGUAUAUUGUUUUGUCACAAAGCUUUAUCUAUGGCACUAGCCAAGGAGGUUUGAUGUGCU